CAUAGUAAAUGGUAAAGGGAUUUAAAGCAGUGGUUUUCAGCUGCCAGAGGCCUGAGAGAGUUUGGGCACACUCUGUGUGAUUGGGCAGAAGGCCUGUGGGAAGUUUAGCUGAGGACAGGGCCAGGAAAGGUGAUGGACAGUGGGGGUCUGUCCUGGUCACCAGGCCCCUGGGUCCUGCCCACCUGCUUGGAGCUCCCCACCCAUCACACAUGAUGCGGCCAAGCCCUCUGGGUAUUGUGGGCAAACACCUUAGGAGAGAAGCUGAUGAACUUUGUUUCUUGAAAUGCAUAGAUUCCUUGGACGUCCCUGAGAGGCCAGUCAUGAAAGUCAGCUUGGUUUUCUCCCCCUCAUUUGGGUUCAGAAUUUAAAGUCCACACACACGGGCAGUAAGAUGAUAUAGAUAAGGACAUCAUCACUCGGUUUCGGAUGUUAAAAUGUCUAGGUGGGUUAGGGGUGAUUUGAG
rnacentral:lncRNA from 10 species